rnacentral:rRNA from 1 species
UACGAAGGGGACUAGCGUUGUUCGGAUUUACUGGGCGUAAAGCGCGCGUAGGCGGAUCACUAAGUCAGGGGUGAAAUCCCGAGGCUUAACCUCGGAACUGCCUUUGAUACUGGUGAUCUGGAGAUCGGGAGAGGUUGGUGGAAUUCCGAGUGUAGAGGUGAAAUUCGUAGAUAUUCGGAGGAACACCAGAAGCGAAGGCGGCCAACUGGCCCGAUACUGACGCUGAGGCGCGAAAGCGUGGGGAGCAAACAGG